rnacentral:rRNA from 1 species
UGAGGAAUAUUGGGCAAUGCCCGCAAGGGUGACCCAGCAACGCCGCGUGGAGGAUGAAUGUCGUAAGAUUGUAAACUCCUGUUAGAGGGGAAGAAUAGUACCGGUUGGACAGGUAUAUGACUGUACCCUCAGAGAAAGCCCCGGCUAACUACGUGCCAGCAGCCGCGGCAAUACGUAGGGGGCAAGCGAUGUCCGGAUUUACUGGGAGUAAAGGGCGCCCAGGCGGGAUAAAAAGUCAGUGGUGAAAUCCUACAGCUUAACUGUAGAACUGCCUGUGAUACUUUUAUCCUUGAGUUCGUGAGAGAGAGACGGAAUUCCAGGUGUAGUGGUGAAAUAUGUAGAUAUCUGGAAGAACACCAGUUGCGAAGGCGGUCUCUUGGUCCGACACUGACGCUGAGGCGCGAAAGCGUGGGGAGCAAACA